rnacentral:rRNA from 1 species
UUCGAUUAAGCCAUGCGAGUCGCGAGUCUUAGGGACUCGGCGUACCGCUCAGUAACACGUGGGUAACCUGCCCUAUGCUGGGGAAUAACCUCGGGAAACUGAGAAUAAUGCCCCAUAGUUCACCACGCCUGGAACGGUGGGUGGAUGAAAGCUCCGGCGGCAUAGGAUGGGCCUGCGGCGUAUCAGGUCGUAGGGGGUGUAAUGUACCCUCUAGCCAUCGACGCGUACGGGUGUUGGGAGACAUUGCCCGGAGAUGGAUUCUGAGACACGAAUCCAGACCCUACGGGGUGCAGCAGGCGCGAAAACUUGGCAAUGCGAGAAAUCGUGACCAGGGAACUCCAAGUGCAUCGGGUAAGACCGAUGCUUCUCUUGACUCUUCAAAGGUCUUGGAAUAAGGGGUGGGUAAGGACGGUGCCAGCCGCCGCGGUAAUACCGGCGCCUCAAGUGGUAGUCGCUUUUAUUGGGCCUAAAACGUCCGUAGCCGGUUUGGUACAUUCGUGGGUAAAUCAAGGCGCUCAACGUCUUGAAUUCUGCGAGCACGGCCAGACUUGGGACCGGGUGAGGUGUGGGGUACUCUCAGGGUAGGGGUAAAAUCCUGUCAUCCUGAGAGGACCACCUGUUGCGAAGGCGCCACACUAGAACGGAUCCGACGGUCAGGGACGAAGCCUAGGGGCACGAACCGGAUUAGAUACCCGGGUAGUCCUAGGUGUAAACGCUGUGGACUUGAUGUUGGGAGUGCUCCGAGCACCCUCAGUGUCGAAGCGAAGGUGAUAAGUCCACUGCCUGGGGAGUACGGUCGCAAGGCUGAAACUUAAAGGAAUUGGCGGGGGAGCACUGCAACCUGAGGAUUGUGCG